ensembl:lncRNA
GGAGGGCCAGAGGCAGCGGCACCGGCACCAUCCGCAGUGUCAAUGCGGCGCUCCCGCUGAAGCAGGCAAAGCGGCCCUUGCAGGCACUGCACAGACAAUGCCACCUCACCUUGGAGACCUGUUGGGUGGCUCAGCCAGGGACAGCGAUAGCACGGCAGCCCUACAGGAAACCGGCCAGGGAUCCAGGCUGUGACGAGUCUGUGCAACAGAUGUGCCAGUCUUUCUAGGCUCUGCUCUCCUCUCUUCAUUCGUGUCCAGCGCUACCCAAGAGCGGCAUUUUGAAAAGACGGCGCACUAAUAAAUCAAACGGCUGUUUGGGAGAUGCACAUGAUUAGGGUAAUUGCCCUAUGGGUUCUAUUGAGCAAGACUUGGUCCACAUGGAGCCCUGUAGAGGCUUUGUCUGCUGCAGCCUUCCAGUUGUGGCAGGAACGUGGAGUCGGCCGGGAGACGGAAGGGGGCUCUGCUGCUAAGUGACAGACUUUUAUUCUAUACAUUACUUAUUGACUUCUCUGCACUGAAGCGAGUGAAGCUUCCGCCAGACUCGAGGCGGCUGGAAGGACACACUUGGACUUCCUCACCUCCCCUCGGGGCAGCGUCAGGAGAGUGGCGGCCAUCCCUGGCCCGCGAGGACCCACGGCCGCAGGUGUCGGUGAGACCUCAGGCAUCCUCGAGCCGCCGGCCGAGCUUGGCUGUCCCCCGCCCUCUCGACGGCGCCUUCCCCAUCAGCCAGGAUUCGCAACGGCAAAUUGGAUUUUGGUAUGUUUUGUCACUCCAACACAAAACAGAUCACUAGCUAAGAGGAUAUCGUCUCCGCAGUCGAUGUGCUGAACACAGACGAGCUGAAUCAAUCCCCGAGGUCUUCCAGGGAAGCGGAUUUUCCCUGGGAAGCACAAGGAGAGGAGCCGUGGCGGAAGAGGUCAGUGGCAGUAUAGAUGGGGAAACCGUAGCUGCCCAAAGGCUCCCCUGGUCUUAACUUGUGGUCAGAUUCCCAUUUGACAUUGAAUUUGUCUGCCCGGCUGUGUUCCCGUCUGGGUAGUGUGGGGUCUGGAGCCAGAGGACGAACACACCACUCCUUGGCUUUGGCCCAGUGGUCAAGAGGCGAGACGGGAAGCCGAGUGAGGGGCACGAGUGUCCCUCUGGUGGAGGGAACGGACGACGAGAGGAGGGCCUGGCGGGGCGGCAGCUCCCAGGAUGUGCCAUGGAAACAGCCCGCGUGGAAUAUCAGCUCACUUGGCAGAGGUGGUUAGAGUGGAUUUUUCUUCCUCUCCAUCUCAGUCCUGCUUCGUGAAGGUAACACCUAAAAUAGAGCAGCAUCUCACAGAGCAUAUUCUGUGAAGAGGUGUUACCCCGAUGCAAAGUUUCUACCACUGAGAAGUUUGAGAAACCCUGAGUGUACAGCAAAUCGGGAGAGGGUCUUUGUUGCAGGACUUCUCAGAGCCUUUAAGCACACGACCACGGACGGAUUAAAAACCACAAAAGUAGGUAUACUGUGUAGUGGCUCUGGGAAUCCCCCGAGAAACACUGGACUAAAACAAGCACUUUCAUUUGCCUUCUCUCCACUGUGAAUGAAGAGGUGGACUCUGCAAUAGAAGUUUCAGCCAAACUUUCACACAAAGGACAAGGUUCUGGUGAUUACAUGGAUACUGGGGUUUCAAGCAGAAUGUUGCCAGGUGGGCAGACAGCGCAACUCCAGACUCAGUGUUUGCCCUUGUCCUUCUAAGGCAGCCAAGAGGUUCUCAGACAGGACUGAGAUCCAGGCAAGUGGGUAUUUUCUUAGGUUCCUGGACGAUGCUGGUUUGUCCCCCUGGUUAAAAAGCACUGGUGUUGUGGGAAAAGCUGGCUUUCGGAGGCAGAUGUAGAUGAUCCCAGCUCUGUCGCUUACCAGCUAAGGGGUCUUGGGAAACACCAUUUAUAACAUGAGGGAAUUGGUCUAGAUUAGUGAUUUUUAAAAUAUUUUAAUAUGUAUGCAGGGGCGUUCCCUCUUCAAAAUGCAGUUUUGGAGUUCCCGUCAUGGCUCAGAGGAAAUGAAUCUGACUAGCAUCCAUAAGGAUGCAGGUUCGAUCCCUGGCCUCUCUCAGUGGGUUAAGGAUCCGGCGAUGCCGUGAGCUGUGGUGUAGGUCGCAGAUGUGGCUUGGAUCUGGUGUUGCUGUGGCUGUGGCAUAGGCUGGCAGCUAUAGCUCCGAUUCGACCCCUAGCCUGAGAACCUCCAUUUAUCAUAGGUGCGGCCCUAAAACGCAA